GGGGGGACGCAGUAGGAUAGGCGAAGCGUGCUGUUGGAGUGCACGUCUAAGCAGUGAGAUUGAGUGUUAGGCAAAUCCGGCACUCUUAAGAUUGAGCUGUGAUGGGGAGAGGAAAUUGUUUCCUCGAGUCGUUGAUUUCACACUGCCGAGAAAAGCCUCUAGAUAGAUAAUAGGUGCCCGUACCGCAAACCGACACAGGUAGUCAAGAUGAGAAUUCUAAGGUGAGCGAGCGAACUCUCGUUAAGGAACUCGGCAAAAUGACCCCGUAACUUCGGGAGAAGGGGUGCUCUUUAGGGUGCAAGCCCAGAAGAGCCGCAGUGAAUAGGCCCAAGCGACUGUUUAUCAAAAACACAGGUCUCUGCUAAACCGUAAGGUGAUGUAUAGGGGCUGACGCCUGCCCGGUGCUGGAAGGUUAAGAGGAGUGGUUAGCUUCUGCGAAGCUACGAAUCGAAGCCCCAGUAAACGGCGGCCGUAACUAUAACGGUCCUAAGGUAGCGAAAUUCCUUGUCGGGUAAGUUCCGACCCGCACGAAAGGCGUAACGAUUUGGGCACUGUCUCAACGAGAGACUCGGUGAAAUCAUAGUACCUGUGAAGAUGCAGGUUACCCGCGACAGGACGGAAAGACCCCGUGGAGCUUUACUGUAGCCUGAUAUUGAAAUUCGGCACAGCUUGUACAGGAUAGGUAGGAGCCUUUGAAGCGUGAGCGCUAGCUUACGUGGAGGCGCUGGUGGGAUACUACCCUAGCUGUGUUGGCUUUCUAACCCGCACCACUUAUCGUGGUGGGAGACAGUGUCAGGCGGGCAGUUUGACUGGGGCGGUCGCCUCCUAAAAGGUAACGGAGGCGCUCAAAGGUUCCCUCAGAAUGGUUGGAAAUCAUUCAUAGAGUGUAAAGGCAUAAGGGAGCUUGACUGCGAGACCUACAAGUCGAGCAGGGUCGAAAGACGGACUUAGUGAUCCGGUGGUUCCGCAUGGAAGGGCCAUCGCUCAACGGAUAAAAGCUACCCCGGGGAUAACAGGCUUAUCUCCCCCAAGAGUUCACAUCGACGGGGAGGUUUGGCACCUCGAUGUCGGCUCAUCGCAUCCUGGGGCUGUAGUCGGUCCCAAGGGUUGGGCUGUUCGCCCAUUAAAGCGGUACGCGAGCUGGGUUCAGAACGUCGUGAGACAGUUCGGUCCCUAUCCGUCGUGGGCGUAGGAAAUUUGAGAGGAGCUGUCCUUAGUACGAGAGGACCGGGAUGGACAUACCUCUGGUGUACCAGUUGUCGUGCCAACGGCAUAGCUGGGUAGCUAUGUAUGGACGGGAUAAGUGCUGAAAGCAUCUAAGCAUGAAGCCCCCCUCAAGAUGAGAUUUCCCAACUUCGGUUAUAAGAUCCCUCAAAGAUGAUGAGGUUAAUAGGUUCGAGGUGGAAGCGUGGUGACACGUGGAGCUGACGAAUACUAAUCGAUCGAAGACUUAAUCAAUUU
rnacentral:rRNA from 2 species